rnacentral:rRNA from 1 species
GACGAACGCUGGCGGCGUGCUUAACACAUGCAAGUCGAACGGUAAGGCCCUUCGGGGUACACGAGUGGCGAACGGGUGAGUAACACGUGGGUGAUCUGCCCUGCACUUCGGGAUAAGCCUGGGAAACUGGGUCUAAUACCGGAUAGGACCACUGCCUGCAUGGGUGGGGGUGGAAAGCUUUUGCGGUGUGGGAUGGGCCCGCGGCCUAUCAGCUUGUUGGUGGGGUGAUGGCCUACCAAGGCGACGACGGGUAGCCGGCCUGGGAGGGUGACCGGCCACACUGGGACUGAGAUACGGCCCAGACUCCUACGGGAGGCAGCAGUGGGGAAUAUUGCACAAUGGGCGCAAGCCUGAUGCAGCGACGCCGGGUGAGGGAUGACGGCCUUCGGGUUGUAAACCUCUUUCAGCACCGACGAAGCGCAAGUGACGGUAGGUGCAGAAGAAGGACCGGCCAACUACGUGCCAGCCGCCGCCGUAAAAC